AUUGAACGCUGGCGGCAGGCCUAACACAUGCAAGUCGAACGGUAACAGGAAACAGCUUGCUGUUUCGCUGACGAGUGGCGGACGGGUGAGUAAUGUCUGGGAAACUGCCUGAUGGAGGGGGAUAACUACUGGAAACGGUAGCUAAUACCGCAUAACGUCGCAAGACCAAAGAGGGGGACCUUCGGGCCUCUUGCCAUCGGAUGUGCCCAGAUGGGAUUAGCUCGUAGGUGGGGUAACGGCUCACCUAGGCGACGAUCCCUAGCUGGUCUGAGCGGAUGACCAGACACACUGGAAAUGAGACACGGUCCAGACUCCUACGGGAGGCAGCAGUGGGGAAUAUUGCACAAUGGGCGCAAGCCUGAUGCAGCCAUGCCGCGUGUAUGAAGAAGGCCUUCGGGUUGUAAAGUACUUUCAGCGGGGAGGAAGGGAGUAAAGUUAAUACCUUUGCUCAUUGACGUUACCCGCAGAAGAAGCACCGGCUAACUCCGUGCCAGCAGCCGCCGUAA
rnacentral:rRNA from 1 species